GACGAACGCUGGCGGCGUGCUUAACACAUGCAAGUCGAACGAGAGGACAAGAGAAGCUUGCUUCUUUUGGAAUCGAGUGGCAAACGGGUGAGUAACACGUAAACAACCUGCCUUCAGGAUGGGGACAACAGACGGAAACGACUGCUAAUACCGAAUACGCUUGGGAGACCGCAUGAUCUUCCAAGGAAAGGGUGGCCUCUACUUGUAAGCUAUCGCCUGAAGAGGGGUUUGCGUCUGAUUAGGCAGUUGGUGAGGUAACGGCCCACCAAACCUACGAUCAGUAGCCGGUCUGAGAGGAUGAACGGCCACACUGGAACUGAGACACGGUCCAGACUCCUACGGGAGGCAGCAGUGGGGAAUCUUCCGCAAUGGGCGAAAGCCUGACGGAGCAACGCCGCGUGAGUGAUGAAGUAUUUCGGUAUGUAAAACUCUAUCAGCAGGGAAGAUAAAUGACGGUACCUGACUAAGAAGCACCGGCUAAAUACGUGCCAGCAGCCG
rnacentral:rRNA from 1 species